GCUGUAGCUCAGUGGUAGGGCAUCUGACCUGCAUGCAGAACGUCCCAAGUUCGGUCCCCGACGUCUCCA